CUACGGGUGGCAGCAGGCGCGAAACCUUUACAAUGCACGCAAGUGUGAUAAGGGGAUCCUAAGUGCUCAUACAUUGUAUGGGCUUUUGCCAAGUGUAAAUAACUUGGAGAAUAAGUGGUGGGUAAGACUGGUGCCAGCCGCCGCGGUAACACCAGCGCCACGAGUGGCAACCACGUUUAUUGGGCCUAAAGCGUCCGUAGCCGGCUAGGUAAAUCUUUUGUGAAAUCGUCAAGCUCAACUUGACGGCGCGCUUGAGACACUGCCUUGCUUGAGACCGGGAGGAGUCAGAGGUAUUCCAGGGGGAGCGGUAAAAUGUGAUAAUCCCUGGAGGAUCACCUAUGGCGAAGGCAUCUGACCAGAACGGAUCUGACGGUGAGGGACGAAGGCUGGGGGAGCGAUCCGGAUUAGAUACCCGGGUAGUC
rnacentral:rRNA from 1 species